GGAGUCCAGUAUGAAUGGGUCUACGGAAACAAGCUGUCUCUUUUUGGUUAUAUUGAAGUUUCUUUAAGGGUGCAAAGUCCCUUGAUUAGAAAAAAGACGAGAAGACCCUUAGAGUUUUUAUUAAAGAUAAGAAUUUAUUUAAGUUUUUGCUGGGGCGGCAAAGAGACAAAGCAAUUAAACUCUCUUUUUAUUGUUUUUAGAAGACGAAAAUGUUAAGAAUCAUUAAACUACCUUAGGGAUAACAGCAUAAUUAAAUUUUAGUUUGUGACCUCGAUGUUGGACUAGGAAGGCUUUUGACCAGCAGUCAA
rnacentral:rRNA from 1 species